GUUUGAUCAUGGCUCAGAACUAACGCUGGCGGCGCGUCUUAAACAUGCAAGUCGUACGAGAACCCCGGUGCUUGCAUUGGGGGGAGAGUGGCGAACGGGUGAGUAACACGUGGAUAAUCUGCCUUCAGGAUGGGGACAACCAUUGGAAACGAUGGCUAAUACCGAAUAAUAUAGCUUUUGCAUAAGCAAGAGCUAUCAAUGGUGGGGACCGCAAGGCCUACCGCCUGAAGAUGAGUCCGCGGCCCAUUAGCUAGUUGGCAGGGUAAUGGCCUACCAAGGCAACGAUGGGUAGCCGGCCUGAGAGGGUGAUCGGCCACAUUGGGACUGAGAUACGGCCCAGACUCCUACGGGAGGCAGCAGUUAAGAAUCUUGCGCAAUGGGCGAAAGCCUGACGCAGCGACGCCGCGUGAAUGAUGAAGGCCUUCGGGUUGUAAAGUUCAAUAAGCAGGGAAGAAUAAGUGGAGUAUAAUACACUCCAUGAUGACGGUACCUGUCUAAAGCCUCGGCUAACUACGUGCCAGCAGCCGCGGUAACACGUAUGAGGCGAGCGUUGUUCGGAAUUAUUGGGCGUAAAGGGCGUGUAGGCGGGGGAUUAAGUUAGGUGUGAAAUCCACGGGCUCAACCCGUGAAUUGCAUCUAAUACUGAUUCUCUUGAGUUCGGGAGAGGAGAGCGGAAUUUCCGGUGUAGCGGUGAAAUGCGUAGAUAUCGGAAAGAACACCAGUGGCGAAGGCGGCUCUCUGGCCUAGAACUGACGCUGAUACGCGAAAGCGUGGGGAGCGAACGGGAUUAGAUACCCCGGUAGUCCACGCCGUAAACGUUGUAUACUAUGUGUUAGCGGAUUUAUCCGCUAGUGCCGCAGCUAACGCAUUAAGUAUACCG
rnacentral:rRNA from 1 species